AGGUGUCCCUCCACUCAAAACAGAGCAAUACAGGCAAGACGCUUCAGCCGAUCGCCCCGGCGAACCGCUCAACCACUCCGGUCCACGUGGGGCUGGACCCGCCAGAGAGGGCUCAUCUGAGGUCACUCAAAGUUGGCGCUGGAGGCGGCCGCACCUGAACCCAGGUCUGCCUCCCGGCUGGCUGCUCCUCCCACUACCCACACCGUGCAACGUCGGAAACUUAAGGCACACAGAUCCCAUGUAAGGAGUUAACCGUUGCAGGUCCCAAGCAAGCCAGCGGCCACGCCACUGGCGCCGGGAGUAAGGACACCAGGAGUGGCGCGGGUCACCCGUGAGCGCAACGUGGAGGGCGGCGCGGAAGAAGCCGAGGAGCAGCUCCCGGAGGCGCAGGCCUGGGGUGUGGGGACCCAGGUCCUCCCCAAAACUUUGCGGCGGCGCGGGGGGCCUCGCCCUUACCUGCAGAAGAGGCGCCGCCCGCGCGCACGCGGAGCCGGCCGGAGCACUGGCAGGGGCGCCCCGCCCAGCGGCGGCCACGAAGAAGAAACAUGAGUCAUCACAUUGUCAGAUGUCACUCUCAGUGAAUGUGGAGGAGCAACUGAGGAACAGUGACCUGGGAAGACGGCUCCGUCAGGAAGAGCUUACCUUGGAAGCGUAAGAACCUGAAUCCAACCCCCUAGAGCCCAGCUAAAUAAAUUUUGGGUCUAAUGAUGCCAAAACUAAUGCCAACAUCAUCAAGUCAUUCAACUAGUAAGUAGAUGAGCCCCUCCUUCUCGCCUAUGAAGGACACUAGGAAACCGAUCCCGUGAGCCACCUGAAGAGGGGGAAGAGGUACAUCUUCCAGGCAGAGAACGAACAGCCUAUUGGGGCUCUGAAGACAGGAAGAAACCUCAGCUGUGUGAUAUGUGUUUUCAAUGUGCAAUUAAUUAUCACAAAACCACAACAAACAGUCGUUAUGGUGUCUAGCUUGCAGAUGAAGAGCCUCAGCAAGGUUGAGCAGUUUAAGAUCACCCAGCCAGUAGGCAAUGGAGGUCACAAUUUAAAUUUGGCUCUCACAUGGCACCCUGUGAUAUAAACAAGCUAGAAAGGCCUUGGCACAUAUUCCCACAGAAUUGCCAUUGUCAUAUUAGCUGCCCUAUACUGACCCAGAAAGUAAGGCCUUAAGGAAGGGGCUAGAGAUGACUCAGUGGUUAGGAGCACAGACUGCUCUUCCAGAAGACCAGAGGUCCAUUCCCAGCACCCAUGUCCCAGGGCUCACAGGCAUCUCUAACUCUAGCUCCAGGGGGCUCUGACACCCUUUUCUGAUCCCCACUGGCACCAGCAUGCAGGUGCACAUACCCACACACAGACUGACAUGUGAAUCACACAAAAACCAGUCAAUCCAUCCAUCCAUCCAUCAAUCCAUCCAUCAAUCCAUCCAUCCAUCACUCCAUCCAUCCUAGGGAGAAAGAAAGGAAGAAAGAAAGAAAAAAAGAAAGGAAGGAAGGAAGGAAGGAAGGAAGGAAGGAAGGAAGGAAGGAAGGAAGGAAACCUCCAGAGAAAAGGAGCUGUCCUGCACCCUGGUAUGUCUGCCCAGCCUGCCCAACCCUGAGUAUCUCCACUAUGAAACAGAACAAUGCCACAGCCGGAAUUUCCCCAGCUUUGGUGGGAGGAGACAAGUACAAACCUGAAUGGAAAAAAAUAGGGGUGCAGGCUGGUGCUCCUUCUUAACCCUAAGCUCUGAGAGCUGGGCCCAGCGAGUCCCAGGCACAGACACCAUUUUCUCAAUGUUCUAUCCUAUCUUCUGUAUAGGGCAGAAGAAAGGAGGAUGACCUAGAUUUUCUUAAAAAACAAGGCUUUGUUCAUGUUUUGCUACGAUGUACUUUGACACUGUGCUUCAGCCUGUUCUUUGAAUCAGAGGAAUGUUCUGGAAAUGAUCUGGGUUGCUGGGUCAGACAUGGCUUGAAUCUUAACUUGAGCCCUUUCUAGCACUGUGUCCUUGGAUAGAUGUGUGCUCUGUUAUUUUCAUCUUCACAGAUAAUGCUGACCUGGAGGGCAUUGUGAGGACUCAGGGGGGCGAGGCACAAACCCUGUGUGAGAUCUGAAGUCUCUCAGGCUUUCAUUAAAUGACAGCUAUUAUUUUGCUUGUUUGCCUUGCAUAGUCUGUAAUGCUUGGAUCUUUCCUUUUCCCUUCUUUCACUCUUUUUUUAUGCAGACUCGCCAGCAUUAACAGAAAUAAUACUGGCUGGGCAUGGUGGCACAUGCCUUUAAUCCCAGCAUUCAGGGAGGCAGAGGCAGUCCAGUAUCUGUGAGAUCGAGGCCAGCCUGGUCUACAAAGCGAGUCCAUGACAUCCAAGACUACAAAGAGAAACACUGUCUCGAAAAAAACAAAGCAAAACAAAAGAGAUAUAUUUUUUUUUUGCAAAUUAGUACUAAUGACUCCAUAAUAGAACUGUUGGUUUAUGAAAGAGCACACCCUUACCAAUGACAGUGAAGACAUGUUUUUAAAAUGUCAAUCAAUAUUACACAUGCUGAUUACAAACAAAUGGCAGGUGUUCACAAAGUUGACAAAAUAACUUAUGCUCUGAAAUGCUCAGUUUCACUAAAACCAUUUUUUUCCUUCAAAGAAUAAUAAAUGUUGA